AGAGAAACAGCCUCUUCCUGAACACUUGUAGAUAACAAUUCAAGCAGCUCUGCAUUGAUUUCUCCAUGAAGUCCAAAGGACGAUGGUUUAUGUGAUUUAGAAGGGAUCGGAAAAGAAACUAAAUGAAAACAAGUCAAAUGAGGCCAAAUUGAAGAAAACGAAAAAAGUGGCUUUGUACAAAAACGGGUCAGAUAUGCAAAUCUGAAAAUAUGGGGUUGUUUUGGUCAUAUUCUAAUGUGGGAAUAUUGGGAGCUAUAAGAGCAUGACUUGGGAGAAAUUAUUUUCAUCUUUGGCAUAAAACACAAGUCUUGGAGAGAUAGGGUUCCAACACCCACACUUGGGGAUUGAAGAUUUGAAGUUUUGAUGAGAAAUUUCUUAACCCUUUACUCAUUUCUUCAAUUCCUUGCUAUGUAUUGAAUAUCUAAGUGUGUAGUAUUUCAUUUCUAUACUUGAACCUUGUUUAUGGAAGUAUACAUUGUUAAAGUUUG